rnacentral:rRNA from 1 species
AACGAACGCUGGCGGCAGGCCUAACACAUGCAAGUCGAGCGCUCACCUUCGGGUGGGAGCGGCGCACGGGUGAGUAACACGUGGGAACCUACCUUGAAGUACGGAAUAACUGAGGGAAACUUCAGCUAAUACCGUAUACGCCCUACGGGGGAAAGAUUUAUCGCUUCAGGACGGGCCCGCGUUGGAUUAGCUAGUUGGUGAGGUAACGGCUCACCAAGGCAACGAUCCAUAGCUGAUUUGAGAGAAUGAUCAGCCACACUGGGACUGAGACACGGCCCAGACUCCUACGGGAGGCAGCAGUGGGGAAUAUUGGACAAUGGGCGCAAGCCUGAUCCAGCCAUGCCGCGUGAGUGAUGAAGGCCUUCGGGUUGUAAAGCUCUUUCAGAUGGGACGAUGAUGACGGUACCAUCAGAAGAAGCCCCGGCUAACUUCGUGCCAGCAGCCGCGGUAAUAC